rnacentral:rRNA from 1 species
UACGUAGGAGGCGAGCGUUGUCCGGAUUUACUGGGCGUAAAGCGCGCGCAGGCGGCACUGUAAGUCAGGUGUGAAAUCUCCCUGCUCAACGGGGAGGGUGCAUUUUAGACUGCAGAGCUAGAGGACGGUAGAGGGGGGUGGAAUUGCUGGUGUAGCGGUGAAAUGCGUAGAGAUCAGCAGGAACACCCGUGGCGAAGGCGGCCCCCUGGGCCGAACCUGACGCUGAGGCGCGAAGGCUAGGGGAGCGAACGGG